rnacentral:rRNA from 1 species
GACAGAGGUGCCGAGCGUUAGGCGGAAUCACUGGGCUUAAAGCGUGUGUAGGCGGACGUCUAAGUGCCUUGUGAAAUCCCACGGCUCAACCGUGGAACUGCUGGGCAUACUGGGGCGUCUUGAGUCACCUAGGGGCUGCCGGAACAAAUGGUGGAGCGGUGAAAUGCGUAGAUAUCAUUUGGAACGCCAAUGGCGAAAAGCAGGCAGCUGGGGGGUGAUCUGACGCUGAGACACGAAAGCCAGGGGAGCGAACGGG